rnacentral:rRNA from 1 species
UACAGAGGUCCCAAGCGUUGUUCGGAUUCAUUGGGCGUAAAGGGUGCGUAGGUGGCGCCGUAAGUCAGGUGUGAAAUUUCGGAGCUUAACUCCGAAACUGCAUUUGAUACUGCGGUGCUUUGAGGACUGGAGAGGAGACUGGAAUUUACGGUGUAGCAGUGAAAUGCGUAGAGAUCGUAAGGAAGACCAGUGGCGAAGGCGGGUCUCUGGACAGUUCCUGACACUGAGGCACGAAGGCCAGGGGGAGCAAACAGG